rnacentral:rRNA from 1 species
CUACGGGUUGCUGCAGUGAGGAAUAUUGGUCAAUGGGCGGAAGCCUGAACCAGCCAUGCCGCGUGCGGGAAGAAGGCGCUACGCGUCGUAAACCGCUUUUGUCCGGGGGUAACCGCGGGGACGUGUCCCCGCCUGCAAGUACCGGACGAAUAAGGGUCGGCUAACUCCGUGCCAGCAGCCGCGGUAAUACGGAGGACCCGAGCGUUAUCCGGAUUCAUUGGGUUUAAAGGGUGCGCAGGCGGCCCGGUCAGUCAGCGGUGAAAUGCCCGCGCUUCACGCGGGAGCUGCCGUUGAUACUGCCGGGCUAGAAUCUCAGCGAGGCGGGCGGAAUGCGCGGUGUAGCGGUGAAAUGCAUAGAUAUCGCGCAGAACGCCGAUUGGGGAGCCAGCUCGCCAGCUGGGUAUUGACGCUGAGGCACGAAAGCGUGGGGAUCGAACAGGAUUAGAUACCCUCGUAGUC